GUUGCCGUGGCCGAGCGGUUAAGGCGUUGGACUAGAAAUCCAAUGGGAUCUUCCCGCGCAGGUUCGAAUCCUGCCCGCAAUU
rnacentral:tRNA from 2 species